UAGAGGCCCGCCGCGGUAACGACGGGUAACGGGGAAUCAGGGUUCGAUUCCGGAGAGGGAGCCCGAGAAACGGCUACCACUUCCAAGGAAGGCAGCAGGCGCGCAACUUACCCUAAUCUCGAUUCGAGGAGGUAGUGACAAGAAAUACCGAUGCGGGACCCUACGGGUGCCGCGUUCGGAAUGAGUACGAUUCGAACCACCUAACGAGGAACGAUCGGAGGGCAAGUCUGGUGCCAGCAGCCGCGGUAAUUCCAGCUCCAAUAGCGUACGUUAAAGUUGCUGCAGUUAAAAAGCUCGUAGUUGAACGUUCGGGUUCCGCGGGACGGGGCCGCCCCGCGAGGGACGGCGCCGCCCCGGGGCGUCCGUGAUAUCUCAUCUCGCCGCCCGUCGCGAGGCGGACGGAGGGAUGGAUGAGGUUACCUGGAAAAAAAUCGGGGCGAUCUAGGCGGGCGAACCUCGCCAACGAACGAUCGGACAUGGG
rnacentral:rRNA from 1 species